rnacentral:rRNA from 1 species
AACGAACGCUGAUGGCAGGCUUAACACAUGCAAGUCGAGCGCAUCCUUCGGGGUGAGCGGCGGACGGGUGAGUAACGCGUGGGAACGUGCCCUCUUCUACGGAAUAGCCUCGGGAAACUGAGAGUAAUGCCGUAUACGCCCGCAAGGGGAAAGAUUUAUCGGAGGAGGAUCGGCCCGCGUUGGAUUAGGUAGUUGGUGGGGUAACGGCCUACCAAGCCGACGAUCCAUAGCUGGUUUGAGAGGAUGAUCAGCCACACUGGGACUGAGACACGGCCCAGACUCCUACGGGAGGCAGCAGUGGGGAAUCUUGGACAAUGGGGGCAACCCUGAUCCAGCCAUGCCGCGUGAUCGAUGAAGGCCUUAGGGUUGUAAAGAUCUUUCAGCUGGGAAGAUAAUGACGGUACCAGCAGAAGAAGCCCCGGCUAACUCCGUG